rnacentral:rRNA from 1 species
UUCGGAGGGGACUAGCGUUGUUCGGAAUUACUGGGCGUAAAGCGCACGUAGGCGGUUUUGUAAGUCAGGGGUGAAAUCCCGGGGCUCAACCUCGGAACUGCCUUUGAUACUGCAAAUCUCGAGUCCGGAAGAGGUGAGUGGAAUUCCUAGUGUAGAGGUGAAAUUCGUAGAUAUUAGGAAGAACACCAGUGGCGAAGGCGGCUCACUGGUCCGGUACUGACGCUGAGGUGCGAAAGCGUGGGGAGCAAACAGG